rnacentral:rRNA from 1 species
UAGGGAAUCUUCCGCAAUGGGCGAAAGCUUGACGGAGCAACGCCGCGUGAGUGAUGAAGGUCUUCGGAUCGUAAAACUCUGUUAUUAGGGAAGAACAAAUGUGUAAGUAACUAUGCACGUCUUGACGGUACCUAAUCAGAAAGCCACGGCUAACUACGUGCCAGCAGCCGCGGUAAUACGUAGGUGGCAAGCGUUAUCCGGAAUUAUUGGGCGUAAAGCGCGCGUAGGCGGUUUUUUAAGUCUGAUGUGAAAGCCCACGGCUCAACCGUGGAGGGUCAUUGGAAACUGGAAAACUUGAGUGCAGAAGAGGAAAGUGGAAUUCCAUGUGUAGCGGUGAAAUGCGCAGAGAUAUGGAGGAACACCAGUGGCGAAAGCGGCUCUCUGGUCUGUAACUGACGCUGAGGCUCGAAAGCGUGGGGAGCGAACAGG